AGAGAGUCGAUAUGGCUGAAAAAUGACUUAACUACUACAAAACUGGAGGGCCUCAAUCUGGAAGAUUCAGGAUCAACAGUACAGCUCCCCUGGGUGCCAAUUUCUAUACAAGAAACCCAUUCACUUUUUUGGCCGCGCUGGCCCCCAGAGGCUCCGCCCUGCGCUCCCGCAGCCCCGCC